rnacentral:rRNA from 1 species
GAUGAACGCUGGCGGCGUGCCUAAUACAUGCAAGUCGAGCGAACGGACGAGAAGCUUGCUUCUCUGAUGUUAGCGGCGGACGGGUGAGUAACACGUGGAUAACCUACCUAUAAGACUGGGAUAACUUCGGGAAACCGGAGCUAAUACCGGAUAAUAUUUUGAACCGCAUGGUUCAAAAGUGAAAGACGGUCUUGCUGUCACUUAUAGAUGGAUCCGCGCUGCAUUAGCUAGUUGGUAAGGUAACGGCUUACCAAGGCAACGAUGCAUAGCCGACCUGAGAGGGUGAUCGGCCACGCUGGAACUGAGACACGGUUCAGACUCCUACGGGAGGCAGCAGUAGGGAAUCUUCCGCAAUGGGCGAAGGCCUGACGGAGCAACGCCGCGUGAGUGAUGAAGGUCUUCGGAUCGUAAAACUCUGUUAUUAGGGAAGAACAUAUGUGUAAGUAACUGUGCACAUCUUGACGGUACCUAAUCAGAAAGCCACGGCUAACUACGUG